AUACGUAGGGUGCGAGCGUUGUCCGGAAUUACUGGGCGUAAAGAGCUCGUAGGUGGUUUGUCGCGUCGUCUGUGAAAUUCCGGGGCUUAACUCCGGGCGUGCAGGCGAUACGGGCAUAACUUGAGUACUGUAGGGGAGACUGGAAUUCCUGGUGUAGCGGUGAAAUGCGCAGAUAUCAGGAGGAACGCCGGUGGCGAAGGCGGGUCUCUGGGCAGUAACUGACGCUGAGGAGCGAAAGCAUGGGUAGCGAACAGGAUUAGAUACCCUGGUAGUCCAUGCCGUAAACGGUGGGCGCUAGGUGUAGGGGUCUUCCACGACUUCUGUGCCGUAGCUAACGCAUUAAGCGCCCCGCCUGGGGAGUACGGCCGCAAGGCUAAAACUCAAAGGAAUUGACGGGG
rnacentral:rRNA from 1 species